UCUCCUGUGUAGCAAGGGCUCUCCCAUGCUGCCAGAGCCGGGGCCCUCUCUCUCCACUUCCUGACUGGACUCUUGAGCGUUCUCGCUGCUAUCGCUGCUUGUGGAGGAGCUGCUUCUGACGAGGGGAGGAGGAUCCCUAUAUUCUCUUCCCCUUACAGAAUAUGGAUAGAUACCUUUCCAAAAUGAGAGCAAGAGGAUCAAGUGAUGCUGAGGACAAUCCUAGCUGCCGCUUGAAUGGACUGCUGGAGAAGACUUAUUUAAUUCGAAACCACUAGCCAGUGCAAACAAUCCCUGCCCCCAUUAGCUAUGCAUUUCCAUAUAAUAUCUACAAUGGCCCACAAAUGCUAUGAUGUCAAAAAGUUUCAACAAAAUUUGUUCCAAGUAAAGGGGCAUUUCCUUCUUUCAGUUUUGUUAAAAGGUAAAGGGACCCCUGACCAUUAGGUCCAGUCGUGACCGACGCUGGGGUUGCGGCGCUCAUAUCGCUUUACUGGUCGAGGGAGCCGAUGUACAGCUUCCAGGUCAUGUGGCCAGCAUGACUAAGCUGCUUCUGGUGAACCAGAGCAGCGCAAAGAAACGCUGUUUACCUUCCCGCUGUAGCAGUACCUAUUUAUCUACUUGCACUUUGACAUGCUUGAAAACUACUAGGUGGGCAGGAGCUGGGACCGAACAACAGGAGCUCACCCCAUCGCAGGGAUUCGAACCGCCGACCUUCUGAUCGGCAAGCCCUGGGCUCAGUGGUUUAGACCACAGUGCCACCAGGUGACCUUUUAUGGUCAGUUUGUAAUAUUCAUCCAGCUCAUUAUAAUCAGUGCUUUCCCCCCCCCUUUUUCCUUUUAGAAAAAAAUGUGCCGGUACUCAUCAUGAACUUGUUACAUUUUCUGCCUGUGUUCUCCUUACUGCUGCUUGGGUAAAUGCAUGAAUCUAACAUUUGGAACGUUUGUUUCCUGUCAUGAAAGCUUGUUCUCUCACAACUCCCCCUUCAUCAAAUAGACUGAGCAUCUCACACCUGCUCAGCCAAUCUGUCCUCAACGAGAUAUAUUUGUGAUCUGGCAACAUGCCUGUGAACUUUGGGAUCUGACAACGAGCUUUCUAUGCCUCCUCUCCCAUUACAUAAGAAGCAAGAGCUGGCUAAGGAGAUGGUUGGAGCAUCAGAUAUGUGACGGAAAUGAUAA